rnacentral:rRNA from 1 species
UACGAAGGUGGCAAGCGUUGUUCGGAAUCACUGGGCGUAAAGCGUACGCAGGCUGUCUGUUAAGUCGGGGGUGAAAUCCCGGGGCUCAACCCCGGAACUGCCUUCGAUACUGGCAGGCUAGAGUCCGUGAGAGGAGUGUGGAAUUCCUAGUGUAGAGGUGAAAUUCGUAGAUAUUAGGAGGAACACCAGUGGCGAAGGCGACACUCUGGCGCGGUACUGACGCUCAUGUACGAAAGUGUGGGGAGCAAACAGG